AGCAGUAGCCACGGGAAUACGAAGGGUGCAAGCGUUACUCGGAAUUACUGGGCGUAAAGCGUGCGUAGGUGGUGGUUUAAGUCCGUUGUGAAAGCCCUGGGCUCAACCUGGGAACUGCAUCCAAAACUGGCGAGCUAGAGUAUGGUAGAGGGUGGUGGAAUUUCCUGUGUAGCGGUGAAAUGCGUAGAUAUAGGAAGGAACAUCAGUGGCGAAGGCGACCACCUGGACUGAUACUGACACUGAGGUGCAAAAGCGUGGGGAGCAAACAGGAUUAGAUACCCCCGUAGUCCCUGUCUCUUAUAC
rnacentral:rRNA from 1 species